rnacentral:misc_RNA from 1 species
UGGGAUUUUAAACAUGAUCACACAUAUAAUUCAUUUAUUGCAUACUCUAUACCUUUGGUGAACAGUCACCACAAAUCUCAUAUGUUCCAUACUCAUUUGCAUCUUCAAUCACCAAGUGAUAACCCAAAAUUAGAAGAUAACAAAGCAUAAUCAGUUUUUCUAUCCAAAUCCCUAGUUGGAAGUUUAUUUGAAGAAAUUGGAACAAGCAUAUGGAAGUAUAUAUUGAACAUAAGCAUGGUUAAACCACACUUCAUUGAACAUGUAAGCAUUAGUAGUUCUGCACAUCGGCAUGCAGCAAGUAUUGAAGCCUUAGUACUAUGAUACUAAGUGUUCAAAGCCAUCAAACAUUUCACCAACUUAUCUCCAAAUAAAGUCACUGCCUCAAGCUCUCAACGAUGUAAGAUGCAUACAGAUCCAUGGAAUAAUUGAUGGCAUCAAUGGCUGCCUCAGCUGGCAAGAAGUCCUCCACAGCAACUUUCUUGUUCUCAUUCUUUUUGUAGUCCUCAAAAAAGCGGCGGAUUUCAGC